ACUGUUUAUUAGUUCAAGUAAAACUAAUGAAUUCGACUCAUUAAAUUAUGAUACAUAUCAUAAUUACCAAAAA
rnacentral:tRNA from 1 species